CCUACGGGCGGCAGCAGUGAGGAAUAUUGGUCAAUGGACGCAAGCCUGAACCAGCCACGCCGCGUGCAGGAAGACGGCUCUAUGAGUUGUAAACUGCUUUUGUACGAGGGUAAACGCAGAUACGCGUAUCUGUCUGAAAGUAUCGUACGAAUAAGGAUCGGCUAACUCCGUGCCAGCAGCCGCGGGAAUACGGAGGAUUCAAGCGUUAUCCGGAUUUAUUGGGUUUAAAGGGUGCGUAGGCGGUCGGAUAAGUUAGAGGUGAACUCCCGAGGCUCAACUUCGGAAUUGCCUCUGAUACUGUUCGGCUAGAGAGUAGUAGCGGUAGGCGGAAGGUAUGGUGUAGCGGUGAAAUGCUUAGAGAUCAUACAGAACACCGAUUGCGAAGGCAGCUUACCAAGCUACUUCUGACGUCGAGGCACGAAAGCGUGGGGAGCAAACAGGAUUAGAUACCCGUGUAGUC
rnacentral:rRNA from 1 species